CAGGUAGGACUACCCGCUGAACUUAAGCAUAUCAAUAA
rnacentral:rRNA from 6 species